CAAUAGUGUAUCUUAACGUUGUUGCAGUUAAAAAGUUCGUAGUUGAAUUUCUGGGGGGGAGGCUUUGGUUAACGCCGGGCAGCCCCUUCAUCCGCCUUGGAAUCAGGAAGGGUAUUUGUUUACUGGCCUGAGGAAGUGGCAUUUUACUUUGAAGAAAUUAGAGUGUUCAUAGCAGGCUUUUGCUUGAAUAUAUCAGCAUGGAAUAAUGGAAUAGGACAUCGUCCGUCUCUUGGUGAUUGGACAUGUAAUGAUUAACAGGGACAGUUGGGGGCACUCGUAUUCGUUAGUCAGAGGUGGAAUUCAUUGAUUUGACGAAGACGAACUAAAGCGAAGGCAUUUGCCAAGGAUGUUUUCAUUAA
rnacentral:rRNA from 1 species